UUGAGUGCAACGUCACAGAUCAGAACUCUUCUCAACUAAACUGUCCAACCUCUCCCCACGUGCGAGAACGCUAUCAAUAGUCUUAUGC